rnacentral:tRNA from 1 species
GGAGAAGUGUCUGAGCGGUUGAAAGAGCACGCCUGGAAAGCGUGUAUAGGGUCAAACCUAUCGGGGGUUCGAAUCCCCCUUUCUCCACCA